GAUGAACGCUGGCGGCGUGCCUAAUACAUGCAAGUCGAGCGAACAGACGAGGAGCUUGCUCCUCUGACGUUAGCGGCGGACGGGUGAGUAACACGUGGAUAACCUACCUAUAAGACUGGGAUAACUUCGGGAAACCGGAGCCAAUACCGGAUAACAUGUUGAACCGCAUGGUUCAACAGUGAAAGACGGUCUUGCUGUCACUUAUAGAUGGAUCCGCGCCGCAUUAGCUAGUUGGUAAGGUAACGGCUUACCAAGGCAACGAUGCGUAGCCGACCUGAGAGGGUGAUCGGCCACACUGGAACUGAGACACGGUCCAGACUCCUACGGGAGGCAGCAGUAGGGAAUCUUCCGCAAUGGGCGAAAGCCUGACGGAGCAACGCCGCGUGAGUGAUGAAGGUCUUCGGAUCGUAAAACUCUGUUAUUAGGGAAGAACAAAUGUGUAAGUAACUAUGCACGUCUUGACGGUACCUAAUCAGAAAGCCACGGCUAACUACGUG
rnacentral:rRNA from 1 species